AAUCGAAGCAGUGAACUUAAGCCCCAGUAAACGGCGGCCGUAACUAUAACGGUCCUAAGGUAGCGAAAUUCCUUGUCGGGUAAGUUCCGACCCGCACGAAAGGCGUAACGAUUUGGGCACUGUCUCAACAACAGACUCGGUGAAAUUGUAAUUCCGGUGAAGAUGCCGGAUACCUGCGACAGGACGGAAAGACCCCAUGGAGCUUUACUGUAGCUUGACAUUGGGUCUUGGUACUACAUGUACAGGAUAGGUGGGAGGCUUUGAAACCAGGACGCCAGUUUUGGCGGAGCCAUCCUUGGGAUACCACCCUUGUAGUACUGGGACUCUAACCAUAGGCCAUGAAUCUGGUCUUGGGACACUGUCAGGUGGGCAGUUUGACUGGGGCGGUCGCCUCCCAAAAGGUAACGGAGGCGCUCAAAGGUUCUCUCAGUACGGUCGGAAAUCGUACGUAGAGUGUAAAGGCAAAAGAGAGCUUGAUUGCAAGACAUACAGGUCGAGCAAGGAUGAAAAUCGGACUUAGUGAUCCGGUGGUUCUGCGUGGAAGGGCCAUCGCUCAACGGAUAAAAGCUACCCUGGGGAUAACAGGCUUAUCUCCCCCAAGAGUCCACAUCGACGGGGAGGUUUGGCACCUCGAUGUCGGCUCAUCACAUCCUGGGGCUGUAGUAGGUCCCAAGGGUUGGGCUGUUCGCCCAUUAAAGUGGUACGCGAGCUGGGUUCAGAACGUCGUG
rnacentral:rRNA from 1 species